rnacentral:tRNA from 1 species
GCCUGGGUGGCUCAGUGGGUUGAGCGUCCGACUUCUGCUCAGGUCAUGAUCUCUCAGUUCGUGGGUUCGAGCCCCAUGUCGGGCC